UACGUAGGCGGCAAGCGUUGUCCGGAUUUACUGGGCGUAAAGCGCGCGCAGGCGGUCGGAUAAGUCGAAUGUGAAAGCCCCCGGCUCAACUGGGGAGGGUCAUUCGAUACUGUUCGACUCGAAGGCAGGAGAGGGAAGUGGAAUUCCCGGUGUAGUGGUGAAAUGCGUAGAUAUCGGGAGGAACACCAGUGGCGAAGGCGACUACCUGGCCUGUUCUUGACGCUGAGGCGCGAAAGCUAGGGGAGCAAACGGG
rnacentral:rRNA from 1 species